AAAGAUUUAGUUAAUUUUCAUAACAUUGAUUUGUCAAAUCAAAAUUAUUUAACCUAAAUAUUCUUUA
rnacentral:tRNA from 1 species